UACGUAUGGUGCAAGCGUUAUCCGGAUUUACUGGGUGUAAAGGGAGCGCAGGCGGCACGGCAAGCCUGAUGUGAAAGCCCGCGGCCCAACCGCGGGACUGCAUUGGGAACUACCGGGCUGGAGUGCCGGAGAGGUAGGCGGAAUUCCUAGUGUAGCGGUGAAAUGCGUAGAUAUUAGGAGGAACACCAGUGGCGAAGGCGGCCUACUGGACGGUGACUGACGCUGAGGCUCGAAAGUGUGGGGAGCAAACAGG
rnacentral:rRNA from 1 species